UAUUCUAUUUUUUGCCAGGCUGGAAUAGGAUAUAUUACAAGCCUGCUCUGGCCAGAGCUAGGCUGGCUUGUUUAAAGGGAUCCCAGAUUCCAGUACUCCCCAGCCCAGAGCAUGCCUCUUGGCCCUGCCUGUUUGUUACCACCUUCAUGGAAGCAGUAUCACAAGAACAAAGCAAAACAGGCUCUUACUUCUCAACCUUCUCAUUCUGUCUGAAGCUUCUAGGAACAAAGGACAUUUAAUAAUAGAAUCCCUCCUCUGUUAUUUAUAGCAUCAAUUGCUGAAAGCUGGUUUAGGCUUAUUUUUUUUUUAAAAUCCCAGCCUUUGUCACAGCCUCCCUGGGAAUUGGAGCAGAAGGCAGCUACUAGCAGUUCCACUUUGCAGACCAGGAGACUGAGGGAUCAAUGCAAAGAGACUCCUUCAGGGAUGGACCAUGAGUGGAGAGCUGGUAAGAAGACUGAAUUCCAAAGGGUAAAAAGAGUUGGCUUGAAUCCAAAUAUUCUGGGGACAGAGGCAAGUGGAGGCACCAAGACUGAAAGGCCAGUACUCUUUCUCCUGCUACAAAACUCCUUGAGUUGGAGGUUACAUAGCAUCUACAUGGCUUGCUUCACAUCUUUAACAUUUUUAGAUAUAUUCAUUUUAUUUUCUGUGUAUGACUAUUUUGCCUGGUGCUCAAAGAGUCACAGAUGCUUAUGUACCACCAUGUGAAGACUGUGGAAUUGAACUCAAGCCCUCUACAAGAUCAGCAAUUACUCUUAACCACGAAACAAUCUUUUCAGCCACGUUUCCUAUCCUUUGAUGAGUUUAAGUUCUGGGAUGAUAUUCACUAGUUCAUGCAUUUGGUCUAUUCUUUGAGAGAUUUGCAUCAUGAGAUUGUGCAGGUUCCAUUCUAAUCUUUGUUUACUUGGACUCCACAAAUGGUUUUGCCCCAUUCUCUCUGGAUGUGCAGCUUUGCCAAAGCUGCUGAAGUGUUUUUAAGCAACAUCCUAGAGUCAAAGGAGCAAGGAGGAGGAUCAGUCAGUCCUUGCUCUCACUUCAUACUAUUCUCUGCUAGUUUUGAGGGAUGAAAAUAGAUCUCCUUACGGCUCAAAGAAUGGCUUUGGAUCAAUAUGCAUCUAGUCAAAAAUCCUGAGGGGGGAAAAAGAUAAGACACAGAUUGAUUCACUGUUUUCUUGUCUUGGCAAAAUGAAUCUGGACCAUUCUGACUAGUUUACCAGAAAAGAAGUGACCAUAGAAGGAUCUGAGAUCAGAGAAAUGUGUUUGGAGAUGAUUUCAACCUACAGGAAUCUACAACAGCUGGAGAAAAUGGCUUGAUGGCUAAUGGAUUUAGGAAUCUAGCCAAGCUCUAUGCAACAUUCAGAGGCCAAUGAAAUCUUAUUUUCUCAAUCAUGAACUAGAGUUGUGUAUUAUAUUUUUGUCUAUAUUAUACUGUUUAGCUUUAUCUCUGAUCAGUUAUGUUGACAAUUCAGGGAAAAUUUUCCUCAUAAAAUAAAAGUUGAUGUAAGGUGAUCUUUACACAUUCUCUCAGGAGGCUUAAAUAUUGAAGCCUGCCAAGCAUCUCAUUAACCGAUGGCACAAUGAUGACAGUCCUGGCAUAUGGCCCUUCCCACUAGUUUAGAACCAAAUAUCUGUUUCAAGUAAAGAUAUAUUUUAUCUGAGUUUAACCAACAAAGUUUUAAAUAAAAUGAGUGCACAGGUUAAUAAAAUGAUAGCAUUAUUUGAAGAAAUAAUAUUGAUGAGCUACUAGAGCUUAUGUGUAAGAUUCAUAUGACAGGAAUAUGACAACCUGUAGAAACAUAGCAUUUAAAAAUGAGCUUGUUAGACUAGGGAGAUGGCUCACUUAUUAAGAGCACUUGUUACUCUUCCAGAGCACCCACGUUCAAUGCACAGCAGCUACAUGGAGGCUCUCAACCAUCUAUAACUCCAAUCUCAGGGAACUCAAUACCCUUUUCUG